GUUCCUGUUUUGGAGUCGAGAUAUUUGUUUGUGUUUUGAAGUGAAGUUUUUGUCAGUGUAUGUACUUACACCUACCAAAAACAAAAUUAUACAAAUUAUAAUAAACAAUUAAAACGCUGCGUCCUAGUUUGGCUGUAGUUUGUUUACCUUGAAUAUUUCCAUAAUGGCUUUUGAGUGCCAUAUAAUAUGUAAAAAGUCUUUUGGAAAGAAAUCCAAUUUGAAAAGACACCUUGCAGAAGUUCAUAAACUAAAUAAGCCUUCUAGUAGUGAUAGUAAUAGAAAACUGGGAAACAAUUGCUGCUUGGAACAAGGAAAUGAUGACAGUCUUUGUGGCAUUAUUUUUUCAAACAUGAUAAAAUCUCUAAUUGAGCAUUUACAGAUCACUCAUAAUAAGAGCCUUAAUAUCGAGUUAAAUCAGAUGGAAAACAUGCAAGAAUUUACACAAUUGAAAAUCAAUAUAGAGGCUCAAAAUAAAUGUUGUUACAUUCUGAAAUCAAAGAAAUCUAGUAUAAGUCGCACUAUCAAUGGAAAAGUAACGUAUCUCAAAAAAAGUCAAAACUGAGAUUUUUAUUGAGUUUGCUCGAAAAGACGAUAAUUUACUAAAUGAAAAAGUAACACAUUCGAAAAAAGGGCGGGAAAUAUUUAAAAAUGUAAUAAAACAAAUUUUAACUUAAAACUAUAGCAAAAAAUUUCCAACGAAAAAGUAAUAUAUUAACAUAUACUGCCUAUAAAAUCAAGAAUGUUUGACAGACAAAAUAAUGCAAUACUAACACAUCUAAAAAUGUAACACUAUUAACCUGUAAUAACUAAUUUUUUCCUAUUAAAUUUAAAGUGUUAAAUUAACGCAAAAUAAAAUAUAUCAUUUUUACAUUAAACAUCUAUUCUCAUAAAGUUAAGAAAUUAAAGAAAAACACGAACAUAACAUCAAAUAUGUUAGUAUGUCUUCAACAACUUACUGAGGAAAUUCAAAUACAAUAACGCCACAACGCAAAAAAACGUUGAUAUUUUAUUAGCCGUGCGUCAGUACCUGCGAAAGGUAUGCCAAUUAUUCUUCUCAAGAAAAAGUUCAGCUUCAAAGUGAAUACGACAAACACGUUGAUGACAAAAAUAAAGCUCAACAAGAAAAAGAGAUUGAUGUAUCAAAUGCCUUAAAAGAUUCAACUAACUCAAGUUGUAGCUGUCUAUGAUUUACAGUCCGUCCUUACCACACCUUGCUCACAAGUCUCAGACUUUUAUUACAAAAGAGAGUUCAUGCUACGUUUGGUCAGAGAAUAUUGCAAAGCGCGGUGCAAAUGAAAUUGGAAGUUGUAUUCUGCAAUUCCUAAAAAGAAACUGCCAAGAAAAACAUGUUACUUUUUAUUCUGACAACUGCGCCGGGCAGAAUAAAAAUAAGUACAUUGCUAGUUUGUAUUUAUAUGCAACCACUUUCCUCGAAAUUCAAUCAAUAACGCAUAAAUUUUUGGUAACAGGUCAUACACAAAAUGAAGGCAAUAGUAUGCACUCAUGCAUUGAAAAAGAAAAAAAACGUUUGUUAAAAGGUUGACCUAUUUUUAUCCCUUCUCAGUGGAUUCCUGAGAAAGUAAAAGAAAUGGAUCAAUCUGAAAUGUUUGAUCUUCAAAAAUUAUCUACUGAUGUAGGUUUAAAUUUUAGCACUGAUACUGAUAAAAUAAAGGUAAAGUGGACCGAUAUAAAGGUUAUACACCACUUUUCAAUGAGUGCAGAAAAAGACUGCAAAAAAGUCAAGGGUCAUGUAAAUUAGAGCACAACUGCACCAGUUUUAUUAAUGUGAAAAAUGAAAGUGGUGCCUUACUGGUUGAAUGGCAAAAAGAACAUUACGGCCACACAAACGAUUUGGAGCAUAUAAGAAUUCCUUCACAUGAAAAAGAAAGUAUUGCCUCCAAACUCAUAAGUGGAGUUCCUCCCCAAAGAUGAUGCAUUCUCAGUUGAGUUAUGGGUCAGAGAAUGUGAAGCCUGGGAUGUAAAUCCCGUUUUAUUUUAUAAGCGACAAGGGCAAGAACAUGCCAUUUUAAAGAAAGAAGAUUUUUGUCUUGUGAUUAUGAACAACUUUCAAAGGAAUAUGAUCAAAAAAUUUCAAAAAAUUAUUACUGUUGACAGCAUGCAUGGCUUGAAUUCAUAUGACUUUAAAUUGACCACUGUAAUGGUAAUAGAUGAAUUUCACCAUGGUUUUCCCGUUGCUGAAAUGUUUUCAAAUAGAAAGGAUACCACCAUUCAACAUCUCUAUUUUUCUCUUAUAAAGGAAACAGUAGGUGAAGUUUGUUCUGAAAUAUUCAUGUCAUAUAUGGACGGAACAUUUUUUAAUGCAUGGAUUAUGGUGAUGGGAGUAAAACCUGACCACUUGUUUUGCUCUUGGCAUGUAGACAGGGCAUGGCAAAGUAAUCUUACUAAGAUUGGUGAUAAGGAAAAGCGUGCUUCUGUUUAUAAACUGUUAAAAACUUUACAACAACACACAGUACUAGAUCAUUUUUCCUCAGCUUUAGCAAGUGCCAUUCAAAAUUUAUGCAGUGAUCCAAGCAUUAAAAAAUUUGGAGAGUAUUUUAAAAACACUACACUCAUAAUUAUAAAAAAUGGGCUUAUUGUUUUAGAGAACUUUCUUCCAUUAAUACGAAUAUGCAUUUAGAAUCAAUGCAUAGUCAUUAAAUAUUUUUACUUAGAGAGAAAAAAAACAGUGAAGCGUUUGGAUCAAGGGUUAAAUGUUGUCUUACAAUAUGUGAGGGAUAAGAGCAUUGAAAGGAUAAUAAGAUUGACUAAGGGAGAACAUACAAAAACUACAUCUAUAUUAUCUCGAAAUCAUUGGGAUUCAAUUAAAGAAAUGUGUCAAUAUUCCUUAUUAAAUUGUGCUAAUUAUUGGAAAAUUAAAAAAAAAAUUAAUACAUCCUCAUAUUGCACAUGUAAUCCAAAAGUGUCACUAUACGAAAAAUGUAAAUUUUUCAGGAGAGCAAAUUAAAGUUUUCGGCAAAAUGGAAAGACAAAUAACGGUGAUUAUAUUGAUAAUAAAUGAACGAUUUUUUUAUCACAGUGAACGAUGUUUUGGCUUUAACCAAUUUACUAAACAGAAAUGGAAAAUAAAUUCUUUUAUUUGUUUAUUUUUUAGUUUUUUGAUUUAUAGUGUCACUUUUUUAUUUAUUAUAUGCAAUAUUUUUAGAAUUCAGUCAAAAUUUUUCAAACCAUAAAAUUAAAAAAAAAAUUGAAAUAUGUAGAAAAGCAUAUUAUUAUAUUAAAUGAAACAUGAAACAUUUAUUUUUACACACAACUGCUUGAACAAAAAAUAAUGAAGGUAGGUACUUCUAAAAAAUAUUUUUUAUCUUAACUACUAACUUAACUUAAACCAACCAUCUAAAUGACCACUUAUGCACCGCGAACUUAACCAUAGCUUAAAAUUUAAACCAUCACUGUUAUUUUCCAUUCAAAUUCAUACAAAAUAGCUGUCGUUUACGUUUAAAUUUUAAACUACGGUUAAAUUUACACUGUGCCAAUAAAAGUUUACAUCACUGAUACAGAAAUGGCACUAAAGCCAAAUUAAUGGCUAUAAAAACAACUGCAAAAACAAAAAAUUAAUUCCUAAAACAAAAUAUUCAAAAACCUGGUAAAUAUAACAUAAACACAACUUUAAAUAUGGACAGCUUCUAUUAUGAAAAAACAAAAUAUUUUCGUUCGGUAAAUUAAAUAUAGUGGGUAAUUAUCAUUACAAAAUAUUAUUAUAAAAGGAGUGUACAUAGUAUUGAGGUAUUAAGGAAUUUUCAAAAAGACUUUUGAUGUCUUGUUUUUUUCGAUCAGACAAUUUUAAUCUUUCUGUGUAAAGUUUAUUUAAUUGAAAACUUUUGCGAUUUUGACGUGUUGAACGAGGCGCCCAACAACUAAGUUGCUUAAAAGUUUGGUCACUGUAUGAAGUUUUGUAAUAUAUUUCAAUUUGGGUUUGGCUAAACCCUCACUAAACAAAAAAUGUCACUAUUGCACAAGUCCUCGCCUACACGAUUAAUGUCACCACAGUUGCCCGCCACGAGUGUAUUAAUAUUGCGUAAGCCAUAAUGACACUUGCGCUAUCUAGAGGUCUCUAAUGUAAUUAUUCAAGAUAUUUUGUAUAGUGACACUUUUGGAUUACAUGUGCGAUAUUAUGAGGUUCGUCAAAAACUUGAUAAAAACUGUUGCCAAAUAACAAUUAUGUGCAAUUUGUAAAAUAUGUAACCAUUUGUAUUCAUGUACUUGUAAUAUUUUUGUAAAAAAACAGACUAUGUGUAAACAUAUUCAUAUUAUUAUUUCUAGCAUAAAUGCAAUGGAUAUUGAGGUAAAUGAGUAUGUCAAUUCAAAAUCGUCUAAUUCACCUGAAGAUAAGACUAAUCUUAUAUUAAGUCAUUUGAAGGAAAUUUCCCUUUCUUCCCUAAAAAUAACAGUCGAGGACACAAAUGAAAAAAUAAUUAAAAUAAAAGCUUUAACUGCUGAUUUAGGAAAUUCCACUUUUGAUGGACUUAAUGACUCGGUAAUAGAUCAAAUUCACCACUGUUUAAUUGUAGCUAAGAACUUAAAUAGAUUCCACGAGGAACCCUUAUUAAAUGAACAAUUUCAAGUAAAAAAUAAGCAGUUAAAAAGGGUUAUCGAACCCCAAUUAAGAUUUAGUUCCACCAAAAAGAAAAGGGUUGAAACAGCUACCAGCUUUAAAAGACCAACGACUCAAGAGGUUUUAGAUAUAAAAGAAAACCUAAAAUUUAAUAAUUCCUUUGAUCAUUUUAUUGCUAAAUCUGUAUCACCCUCACAUGAUCAUGAGUAUUUUUAAGUUUGUUAUGAAAUAAUUUCAGCCUAACAAUUAGACUUAUGUACUAUAUACAGGGUAAACUUGUGUAUCUGGGAUCUUGUUUGGAAAUAGUUUGCUGUGCGAUUUAGUAAUGUAGUGGUAGUAAAUGAUGUAGGUUUAGUUUUGUGAUGUUAUCAUUAGUUAGUUAGAUACAAUAAAACAUUUUAAUGUUAAAAAAAUUCCUACUAAAUGCUAAAUGUUUAAACCUUUUUUAUUUUAUUUAAAGAGUGUUCUACAAUAGAAUUAAUAUUUCAUUUUAUUUAUUAUAUUACAUUUUUUUAUAAAACAUACAAACAUGUGUAUUGUAAAUAAAAGAUAAAUAUUU